UAUGAUGUUAUCCGUGCCAUAGGAAC
rnacentral:piRNA from 1 species